rnacentral:rRNA from 1 species
GAUGAACGCUGGCGGCGUGCCUAAUACAUGCAAGUCGAACGAAGACUAUUUAAAAAAUUCUUCGAAGUUUUUUAAAUAGUUCUAGUGGCGGACGGCUGAGUAAUGCAUUGGUACCUACCCCAAAGUGGGGGAUAGCUCAUCGAAAGAUGGGGUAAUCCCGCAUGUGACCGCAAGGUUAAAGCUUUCGCGCUUUGGGAAGGGCCUUUGUCCUAUCAGCUUGUUGGUGAGGUAAUGGCUCACCAAGGCGAUGACGGGUAGCUGGAUCGAGAGGUUGACCGGCCAGACUGGGACUGAGACACGGCCCAGACUCCUACGGGAGGCAGCAGUAAGGAAUUUUCCGCAAUGGACGAAAGUCUGACGGAGCAACGCCGCGUGAGUGAUGAAGGCUUUCGGGUCGUAAAACUCUGUUUUUAGGGAAGAACAAGUGCUAGUUGAAUAAGCUGGCACCUUGACGGUACCUAACCAGAAAGCCACGGCUAACUACGUGCCAGCCGCCGCGGUAA